rfam:Hordeum vulgare subsp. vulgare, WGS project CAJW01000000 data, contig: morex_contig_143672
CCUAUACUCCCCCCGUCCUAAAAUUCUUGUCUUAGAUUUGUUUAUAUAUGAAUGUAUCUAGUCAAGUUAUAUUAUUUAGAUACAUCAAUUUCUACAAAAGUUAAGACAAGAAUUUGGAACGAAGAGAGUAUUUA